CUAUACAUAGUGGUCCUAGAUGGCACAUUGAACCUAGGGCAAGCUUUAGACAUGAAGAACCUAAAACCUUCUUUCUCUGCAAAUAUGAACGGAAGCUCAUCUACCACAAUCAUGCGAGCAAAUGCUUCUCUAACUUCUUUCUCAUUGUAUUGCCAAGGAACCACAGAGUUGCCAUCAGCACAAACUUGGUAGGUAAGCUCGGUCUGAUUGCUACCGAUGUGGGCAGGAUUUUUUUUGCAAAUCUUCAAAUGGUUUACUAAAGAAGCAGUACCUGCCGAUGUGGAUUUGCAACCCAAUACAGCACUACAAUAGUUGCAGUUUGCAUGAUCCGGAUCAUCCACCUGAAUUGUGAAGUAAGGAACCUUGACUAGCAACAUAACCAGCACCAAGGUUGACACUAUCGAACACCUGAAGAAAUAAGUUAGCCACUACUACUGCAACCAAACUGAACCAACUAUGUUACUGAACAAGUAUCAUGAGAUCAGGGAGAUGCUAUGCUACUGAACAAGUAUCCAACCAGAUCGAACUCAAGGUCAAAGAAUGGGCUUACCAUGAUGGCGUCGACGGCUCGUGUUGCUCCGUGGAACCGUGCGUCGGCGAGCGCGACGGAGGGCGGAGCCGCGGAUGUCAGCGAGUCGGCGACUCAACGGCGUGGAGGAAAGAGGGCGGAGCCGGAGG